CAGUAGCCGCGGGAAUACGAAGGGGGCUAGCGUUGCUCGGAAUGACUGGGCGUAAAGGGCGCGUAGGCGGCUUGUACAGUCAGAUGUGAAAUUCCUGGGCUUAACCUGGGGGCUGCAUUUGAUACGUGCGGGCUAGAGUGUGAAAGAGGGUCGUGGAAUUCCCAGUGUAGAGGUGAAAUUCGUAGAUAUUGGGAAGAACACCGGUGGCGAAGGCGGCGACCUGGUUCAUGACUGACGCUGAGGCGCGAAAGCGUGGGGAGCAAACAGGAUUAGAUACCCCCGUAGUCCCUGUCUCUUAUAC
rnacentral:rRNA from 1 species